AUACGGAGGGUGCAAGCGUUAAUCGGAAUUACUGGGCGUAAAGCGUACGUAGGCGGUUUAUUAAGUCAGAUGUGAAAGCCCCGGGCUUAACCUGGGAACUGCAUUUGAAACUAGUAGACUAGAGUAUGGUAGAGGGGGGUAGAAUUCCUAGUGUAGCGGUGAAAUGCGUAGAUAUUAGGAGGAAUACCAGUGGCGAAGGCGGCCCCCUGGACCAAUACUGACGCUGAGGUACGAAAGCGUGGGGAGCGAACAGGAUUAGAAACCCUUGUAGUCC
rnacentral:rRNA from 1 species